GGGGUUGUCUUAUGGGGGAUUGUCGGCGGUGGCUUAUGGGGUAGAGGACGAAUGAUUGUGGAAGUUAGAUAAAUUGAGGCCACUGCCAAGUCUAGGAACGAAACUAUGGAGCAGAUGGAUCAGAGGAACUACGAGAUUUCGCAGUUGGAUGUCACCAUUCCUUAUCUAAUGUGCGAAGAAUUGCCAUGGAAGGUCAGCCACCGGCCUGCAAGACCUCCCUAAUUGAGGUACAAUAUGUUCUUUGUGGGGUUUACUAUUUGAGGAUGCCAAUGGAUUAGUUUAGGAUUCUGGAAUCGCUUAUUUGGAUUUUGCUUCAGUGCCAUUAAUAUAUUCAACCGGCAAAGGAAUAAGCAAGGACGUAAAUCUCCACUAUGGAAAAUCCUGAUGGGUGCUCCAAGCCAACCGACAAACAAAGAAUGUGGCUAUUACGUCAUGCGCUUUAUGAGGGACCUAAUCCUUGAAGAUAUUCAAGGUGUACUAGCUAAGUGGGAAGGACCUAUGGAGACCACAUAUCUUCAAGAAGAAAUCGAUGAAGUCCGUGAUGAGUGGGCAGAAUUCGUUAGCGACAAGUAUCUUUAGACUCCUCAGUUCUAUGGUUUAACUACGUACCUAGUGAAACUUUUUUAAUUUGUUGCAAAAUUUACAUUUUCCUCUAUAUGAGAGCUAAAUACAUUUAUGACAGCUAGUACUAUUUAUGUUUCUUUUACUUUUGCAAAAUUCACUCAAAAAAUUUCAAUUGAGAAAGCAUAGUAAAUGUGAUUACUUGAA